rnacentral:siRNA from 1 species
UAAUAAAAUGGUGACGUGUGACA